rnacentral:rRNA from 1 species
CCCUUAGAUGUCCUGGGCCGCACGCGCGCUACACUGAGUGUCUGAGAUACGAGUCUGCCUGGUCCGGCAAGGUCUAGGUAAUCGCUAAAAGACACAUCAUGCUUGGGAUAGAUUAUUGCAAAUAUUAAUCUUGAACGAGGAAUUCCUAGUAAGCGCAAGUCAACAGCUUGCGUUGAUUACGUCCCUGCCCUUUGUACACACCGCCCGUCGCUACUACUGAUUGGAUGUUUAAGCGAGGUUCUCGAACUGCUAGCGACUUAGCUUCGGUGAGGUCGCAGUGUGGGAAGUGAACCUAGCUUUGGUGUCUAGGGGAAGUAAAAGUCGUAACA